UAUCUCUGUAGAGUCUGCAUAUCAAUAAGCGGAGGAAAAGAAACUAACAAGGAUUCCCCUAGUAACGGCGAGUGAAGCGGGAAGAGCUCAAAUUUGAAAUCUUAAAGGGUUUCCCUUUACGAAUUGUAGUUUAAAGAAGUGUUUUCUGUUGAGGUUUUGGUAAAAGUUCUUUGGAAUAGGACAUCAUAGAGGGUGAGAAUCCCGUAUUUGACCUUUACUUUCAACUUUGUGAUACACUUUCAAAGAGUCGGAUUGCUUGGGAAUGCAGUCCAAAAUGGGUGGUAAAUUUCAUCUAAAGCUAAAUAUUGGCGAGAGACCGAUAGCGAACAAGUACCGUGAGGGAAAGAUGAAAAGAACUUUGAAAAGAGAGUUAAACAGUACGUGAAAUUGUCAAAAGGGAAGCGUUUGACACCAGUGUUGUUUUUCUGAAAAUCAAUUAAAGAACUGUUUAUGCUAAGCUGUUUAGACUUUAUCAGCUAUACUGUUUAGUUUUGAGCUUUUCUUUAAUGCACUUUUCAGUUAACAAGUCAACAUCAAUUUCUUUUGCUGUAAAAAAGCUUGAGGAAGGUGGCUUGAGAUUCGUCUUAAGUGUUUAUAGCCUCUUGCCUAUGCAGUCGGAGAGAUUGAGGUCUGCAGCGUAGAUCCUUCGGGGCUAAAUGCAUUUGUGCUAAGUUAUAGCAUUUUAUAGACAACUUGUUGACUAUGAUUUGUCUUGUAGCUUACUCGCUUAUGUUAUUUUACCUACGCUUAGGAUGUUGACGAUCAGCUGAGCGCG
rnacentral:rRNA from 1 species